CGUCUCCUCCGUGGCCCCAUCGCAGACCAGAGCCCCUCACCCUUUCGGAGUCCCCGCCCCCUCCGCUGGGGCUUACUCCAGGGCUGGCGUUGUGAAGACCAUGACAGGAGGCCGAGCGCAGAGCAUUGGCAGGAGGGGCAAGGUGGAACAGAAGAAGAAGAGAAAAGGAGAAUCCGAAGGGAAAGGAAUAAGAUGGCUGCAGCCAAAUGCCGCAACCGGAGGAGGGAGCUGACUGAUACACUCCAAGCG
rnacentral:lncRNA from 1 species